rnacentral:rRNA from 1 species
GCCAGCAGUUCGGCUGGGCACUCUAAAGGGAACUGCCGGUGUUAAACCGGAAGGAAGGUGGGGAUGACGUCAAGUCAUCAUGGCCCUUACGGCCUGGGCUACACACGUGCUACAAUGGUCGGUACAAAGGGUUGCCAAGCCGCGAGGUGGAGCUAAUCCCAUAAAACCGAUCGUAGUCCGGAUCGCAGUCUGCAACUCGACUGCGUGAAGUCGGAAUCGCUAGUAAUCGUGAAUCAGAAUGUCACGGUGAAUACGUUCCCGGGCCUU